CCCCCAUAGGACCCCUCCACAUGCUGUGUGCACCAUAUCUGCUCUGCAGGACUUUUUGGGUGCCGCAGGUGGUGCUGCCAUGUGCAGCUCUCAGAGCUAUCACUGACAUUUCACAGCUCAGCCCCAUGAUGGUGUGUCCCAGAUGUUGCCCUCCCCAGCCAGGGUGCAGGCAAUUCAUCCCCUGUCCCGCUGCACUGAUUGGUCACAACACAGCCCCCUCGGGGGUACCAGGCACCAGCUCUGUCCCCAAAGCUGAAAUAUUUGCCAGCCUCCCAUGAGCAGUCUGCCACCUGCACAGGACCAUGGGUGCGAGCCCCCUGGUCAGCUGCCUCCCCCUUCCCACCCUGGGAUUUGGCAUUGGGCUUUCAGGAGAACAUCCAUGAUUUUGUUUGUGCUCUGCUCUCUUACCCAGACCUUUUCCUUGCACUGUUUGCAGUCACCCCAACACCUGCUUAUUGUGAUUUAAAAGUGGACAAAUUGUCUGUUUCCGUUGCCUUUGCUUUUAGAAGGAAACCGAAACCACUAUUAGACUUUUAAUAAUUUAAGAUAAAAAUGCUGUUCCUUAAGAACGUUUUCUGGCUAUAUUUUUGCAGUCGGGGGAUAGAAAGGAACAUUACAGGAAAUUUAAAGGAGGCUUUUGGUAUUAAAUCUUCACCUUUUCCAGAAGAUAACGCAAUUCCGUAAAUCUGUGAGAGACCUUUGUUUAACCCACCCCCCGCUAUCGCCGGCGAGGUUUUAUAGGCGCCUGUCUUGGUGCCGCUCACAGGCUGUGUUUUACAUAAUACCCUUCAGCAUCACUGAUAUUAACCUUGAUGGCAUUAUUAUUGCUAUUUACAGCUCAUAUGCUGGUAAUGGUAAACCUGAAUGGGAUUAAUAAAAUAAAUUAAGUGAUAGAAAUAUUAAUGCUAUUAACAAUCAGUAACAAUAGUUGACAGCAUAAGAAAAGGAAUAACCUGCCAUUAACCAAGCAGGGUAAGGUAUCUCUAGCACACGCAUAAAGGUAUCUGACACUUCAUUUUGAUAAACCCUAGAUUAAUUUUCUUUCAAGCAACAACUUUCCCAGCGCUUUCAUGCUUCUCUGUUUCAAAACUGAGCUGUUGGCACGUUUCCCACGUCACCUUUCUGAUGACCAACAGCCUGGUUCGCUGUAGGGCAGGCUCAGGGCAGGAGCUCUGUGAUGAGGACAGAGCCCUUGGGCUCCAGCUGCUGCUGCUGCUGCUGGGUUUUGGUCCCACAUAGAUCCUGGGCUUCAUGAAGCUGCUGCAACACAUUCUCUGUGCUCCCAGUCUGCGUUUCCAGCCCCCCCCUAAAAUUACAGCCUGCUUCUGGGUGCAGAUUUCCAGCUGAAGGACUGACCAGUGGUGCAUGACUGUUUCUGAACGUGCCAUUCACAUUUUCAUGUAUCCAGCUAAGGGAUUCUGAGCCCUGGUGUAGGAGCUGUUCAACAUCAGUUUGUGUUGAUCUAAUGUUGCAUGGGUGGGCACUGCUGGGGACCUCUCCUCUCCAUCCUUGCCACUGCAACACCAGCUUUGGAAUGGGGGAAGGUGACUUUCUGAUGAACUGUGAGGGAAGUGGUGACCUCUGGGCUUUUUAGGUGGGUCGCUGUGAGUUUUGCCAAAGCCUGUGAGAACAGAAAUGCCAGUCUGUCUUCCUUUUCAUUCCUUAUGGGAAGCUUUUCCUAUGCCAGAGUGCAGGUUUAUCAGAUGUGACCAUGUUUCAGUGGGUUUCUGGACUAAUGCACUGACUGACCUCAUACACCACUGCUCAUGGGUCAGACACCAAGGCUGCUGUGGGGAUUAUUUAAGCACACUGGAAAAUUCCCUGCCUAAUAAGGUGAGCGAAGGGUGGUAAGAAAAAAGCAUUGCUAAUUUUUUUUCCUCUUACAAAUGCAUCUUGCCAAUCCUUUACAGCUGGCUAAAAGCUGGGAUUUCUUGCACUAAGAAAGAAAGUGAGACCAUAAAUAAACCAGUGCAGGACACCUGGAAAGAAUAAAGUGCCCUUCUCAAUGUUGUAGGGGAGGAGGAAUUGGUGUCUGCCUGGCUGGUACAUGGAAAUGGAGUGGGGAAAGAAGCCUCGCAUCUGGGCCAGUGAGGAGAUGCUCACAAUAGUUUUCUUUCAUAACAUUUUCUCUGCUGAAACAUAUAUUUUUAACAUUACUGAUAAUAGUAAGUCUGGAAUGGAGAGCCCUUGCUACUACUCCAACAGUGCCAUCUUUGGUCAGAACAGAGGCUGAAAUCUGUUUCUCAAUAUAAGCCCAAAUUUCAAUCCCCUCUGCUGAAGGCAGAAAAUGGAUCAGCUCCAAGGGCAGGGGAUUCCCAGGAGCCCUGAAGUGAGGCUGCGAGGCUGCUAGUUAAAGUUACAGCACGACAUUGGUUUUCCUACACGCUUUUACUCAGAAGGCUUAUAAAAUUGCCUGAGAGAAUUCCGGCCAGUGGGGCAGAGGGGAAUUGCACAAUGCUCAGGGAAAAAGGGAGAGCCACUCAACACGCAACCUGGUCAAGGUCCUGCUGAAGACCAGAGGGGCCAAUUGAUGGACUUUGCUUUCUGGCACAGUGCUUGCAAGGAUUCCCCAGCUAGCAUCUAUGCAUGAUGAUACGCAUAUCUGGAUGAAGACAGACAUGCUGAGUCCAUCACUGUGAGCACCAGGCGGAACAUCCCAUCACUGGACUUCUUCCAGGCUGGGUGUCUGGAUGUCCGGCUGCCUCUCUGUCAGCAGACCCAAAGUCCUGCAUUUCCCUGUGCAAGAAUAACCUCUUCACAAACAUGGGUGGCAGUGCAGCUAUGACACACAGUGCCAAGCAUGGGGCUUGCCCGAAGUGGCAAAGAGCUGUCUUGAUGCCUUGCACCAAUGAAAAAGUGGAUUGCCUGCAGCUACAGCACGUACCAGGAGCUGAACCACUGUCCCUCUGGCCAAUCCAUUACCCCUAUGGCACAUUGAAGACAUUCAUACUCCCUUAUGAAUUUAAAGUAUCUUAUUUACCUACCUGACAUACUUGAGCUCUAAGUAUACUUUUAUGGGUAUCUGCUCUGCAUUUGGCACUCCUAGCUGGAGUUUGGGCCAAAUUCGGCCUGUGAGUAGAUUCAUUGCUGUCAUUUGGAUUUGUAGUGGCAGCAUUUGCCCAUUAUUGUGUUAUUUUAAUUCCCUCAAGAAUCUAAUGAAAAUUAAGUGAAAAAAUAAGGCUUUCUUUAUUCUAUUUUCAGAAUGAUGGAUUGAUAGAAGGACGGGCAACUUAUACUUGUAGGCUGAAGAUUUUAUGCAUAUAUACAUAACAGAUAUGGAGACAGAAUUUUUCCCUUAUGGCAAUGGAAUGGUUUUGAUAGUCUUCAUUAAAAUAGAUUUGAAAAUAC